GUCUCGACGGUUCCCAGCAGUUAACAGCAGUUCCCACCGUCCCCCUUUUUCUCCCCACGUUUGUCAACUUCCCAGUUUUCCUCUCACGUCGCCUAGGGUAACCGCUGCAUCCAGUAUAUAUAUAAUUCUGCGGUCACACCUUUUUGAGGCAGUUUCACAAUGUGGUUCCCAUUGUUGCUCUGCUAAGAGGUUUUCUUCUUCCUUCCAUAAGGUGGAAUGUUCGAAAGUAGACAGAAAUUGAGCCACGGAGAUCUGGCGUUGAUUUGGUUGCAAGCAAUUGUUCCAAGAUUUUGGAUGCCUUGAAAUCGAGAUGGAAGUCCAGAUUAUCGAGGAUUUUGGUUUCACCCUCAUGUUACAAUUACUAGCUGAAGACAAGAAGGGUGUCACGUUAGUUGCUGAGGAAGAUAAUAUUGGGAUUGACAAUCAAAGUUACAAGUCAAACGAGUCCAUUGCUUCGGUUUCCCCCAAAUUCUUCCAAAUUUCUCUGUAGAUAUCCGCAAAUUCAAUGAUCAGUUGAAAUUAGCGAAUUAAGAUGGAAAAUGGUGUAAGGCUUGAUGACGGAAGCAAUUUGACGGAACAGUUAGCGAAUUUGAGUGUUGGUGAUGGUGUUAAUGGCUGUAGAAGUGACGUGGAUAAUAUUAAUGGCAUGAAUAAGAGUGAUGGAUUGUUUCAGGUUAUGAAAGCGGUUGAAGCUGCUGAAGCGACUAUUAAACAACAGAUGGAAGAGAAUCAAAGGCUGAGGUCUGAGCUUCAAAAGAGGGAUCAGGAACUCGAAGACUAUGUACGUGUUCUCUCUUUUCUUUUAGCAUGCAGCCUCAUUAUUUUUUGCCAGUUGUAUUUUUUUUAAUAUUAAGGUCGACUUCUUUAUAUUGUAACACAACACUAUCAAAGCUAUCAAAUUUAUGAUAUACAUUUUUCAUCACACAUUAGUUUGGUAAUUAAGUCCUGUUUGAAUUAGAAUCCAGAUUUGUGAACUUGUAAUUUCGACUUAUUAGUAAUUAAAUGCCAUUAUUCUAUUUUCUAGGAACUUUAAGGACAUAAUUUCCUGUUACCGUUGCUAUGCGUAUUGACGUCAUGCCUUGUCAUUAGAUUGAACUUAUGAUUGUCAUGGGUGUGACCUUGAGCUUUAAUAAAUUGAAUAGGAAAAUGAGCCUACAGUUACCUUUCUUUAUUUUUUCUUACCGGUAUUAUUACCAUUCUGAAAGUUGUAUUCUUCAUCAACAUCACUUUGACAAAGAAUACCAGAAUUAGUUGUAUCCGCAGUUCAAUGUGUCUGGACAUGGGCUUGUGUCAACUUCUGAGGUUGUAAUUGACACUCGAGAUCAGGAGCAAGAGAUUUUACUGUUGAGAAAGCGUGUUGCUGACUAUUCAAUCAAGGUAGGGACACUUUCGUAUGCUCUUGUAGGUUUGUACUAGAU